GAUGAAGAACGCAGCGAAAUGCGAUACGUAGUGUGAAUUGCAGAAUUCAGUGAAUCAUCGAAUCUUUGAACGCACAUUGCGCCCUUUGGUAUUCCAAAGGGCAUGCCUGUUCGAGCGUCAUUUGUACCCUCAAGCUUUGCUUGGUGUUGGGCGUCUUGUCUCUAGCUUUGCUGGAGACUCGCCUUAAAGUAAUUGGCAGCCGGCCUACUGGUUUCGGAGCGCAGCACAAGUCGCACUCUCUAUCAGCAAAGGUCUAGCAUCCAUUAAGCCUUUUUUUCAACUUUUGACCUCGGAUCAGGUAGGGAUACCCGCUGAACUUAAGCAUAUCAAUAAGCGGAGGA
rnacentral:misc_RNA from 1 species